CCCGAUAAAGCUAAACCCUCCGUGAGAAGGGGACGGAAAGCGGCGGGUCUUAUAAUUAAGAUGGCCGAGCUGCCGAAG
rnacentral:ncRNA from 1 species